CUUGAGAGAUUAAACAGUAAGAGGUAAAUGAGCGUCCCUGGGAUCCUUCAAGGGCAGAUCGGCUCAGCAGUGGGGGAUGCAGUCCAAAAUUCUGAGUUCAGGUUCCAUGUCGUGGGCUGUUCUACCGAGCAGGUAUGCACAUCUGAGUGCUUUACGGUGACAGCGAUGGAUUUCUAUUUCUACCUCAGCAGCAAAGGCUUCGAGGAUUCAGUUUAGGAGCUUUUCAUGCUUGCUGUGUUAAAUGAACAACUAGUAAAGUAGAAGAUGAGGUUGGUAUCAUUGAGUCUCCUCAAAUAUCAGGCGAAGGAUCUCUUUCAUUCAAGACAUUUCACAGUGUAGGACACGCUUCCCUCAACAUUAUUGUGCGCAAACUUCCUUCAGAAGCUGAUGCAAGAAGCAAGAAAAGAGGAGGAUGAUACGGAGUAUGAACUGGAAACACCUGUGGGUGAAGUACAUGGCAAUGGUAGGAAGGAUGUUGAAUUAAUAUCCGAACAAGACUCAUCCUAUGAAAAAGAGGGUGUGGAGGAUUUAAACAAGUAUUUUGAGAUUGACUCAACUGAAAAAAGAAUCACAGAAGAAAGGGAUUCAAUCCCAACUAUUCAGGGCAAUCACUAGAACCCCGGGUUUGUCUAUUAAUUCUGUUCUUGAGAAGCGGGUUGAGGAAGGGAAAGAAUUAAUUUGAGAGGCUGUGUGAAAUCAACGCCUGCAACAUAUGGAAUGUGCAGAG